AAAAUACAAAGUUCUCUCCUCCAUAAAAAAUUCUCCUUCCUAUCAAGUUUCUAUUCAAAGUCUCCAAUAUUCCUAAACACUUUUCCUAAACAUAAAAAGCCUUAUUUCCAACAUGCUCAUGGGUGUUUUUUUUGUUUGAAAUUCCUCUACUAUUCUUUGAGUUGUAUAAUGUGUAGCCACAUCAAUUGGGUGCUAUAAUAUUACAUAGAUUUCUCCUCACUUUUCUGGUAGGAAUAUAUAAAAUUGUAUUUUUAAUUCUGACUUCAUGUGCAAGUUAGAAAUUAAAUCCUAAAUCUUAUAUUUGUGUCAAGAAUUUUUGAAGAUGUACAAUUCAUUUGGAUUUUCUCUUGGAUCAUCAUACUCUUAAAAUUUCAAGGUUACGUACUCUGCUAAAAGGUUCAGGAUUCUGACACCGUGCAACCUUUUGUUUAUAUGUGUUUGUUUUUUGGAAGGGGGUGAGGGGUGACCUUGCCGUAAAUGAUGGAAUAAUAUGGCAACCCGUGAAGCGGCUUCAAAGAUUGAUUACCCCACUAGCUACGGGUUUGCAUUGAAAACAGUUAGCUAUGUUACUUCAUUUGCUAUUCCUCUCUUUAACAUUAUGCUUAUUAAUUCACACUCUACUAAUGUUUAGACUUUAUACUUCGUAUACUUUUAUAAAACUGAAGUGAUCAUUCCUAUGAAACCAUUUAUGCUUCAUUAAUAGUUAAUUAAUGGUUUGUAUGUAAC
rnacentral:lncRNA from 1 species